GAGCCCUCGACCCACACAACCCUCCGACCACAUCUCUUCUUCUUCGUCUCCUCCCCCGGAGAGCAGUCUCUCUCACCGGCGCGUUCAGUAGAAACCCUAAAAAACCCCGUUUCCUCCUUUCGCCCGCAGAGCCCUCCCCACGCCGGGGGUAGGGCUAAGUGGUUCCGCCCGCCAUGGACGCCAUGCGGAAGCAGCUGGACGUGCUCAUGGGCGCCAACCGCAACGGCGACGUGGAGGAGGUCAACCGGAACUACUACGACCGCGACGUCUGCCGCCUCUUCCUCGCGGGUUUAUGCCCGCACGACCUCUUCCAGCUCACGAAAAUGGAUCUCGGACCUUGUUCCAAGAUUCACUCGCUUCAGCUACGGAAAGACUAUGAAGAAGCGAAAUCAAAGGGAUCAGAGAAUUUUGAUAGAGAGCUUGAGGAUAUGAUAGAAAGGCUCAUCGUGGAGUGUGAUAGGAAAAUUCAAAGGGCCCUGAAACGGCUUGCGGAUGAGGAUGCCAAGGCAGCUAUUGCAAUAUCUGUGUCUGAGGUUACUUUGACAGACGAGAUACUGCAGCUGUCAAAACAAAUCAAGGAGAAAAUGAAAGAAGUUGAUACUUUUGAUUUUGAGGGGAGAACUGAUGAUAAAAUAAAGGCCCAGGAAGUGGUGGAAGAACUAAGAGCUAAAAGGGCUGAUAUGCAGGCUACCCUCUUGCUUGAUGCUUUUAACAAGGACAGAGCUUCAUUACCUACACCUGCUCCACCUCCUCAAGUAGCAGCAGUGCCACCACCUCCUCCUCCUGAUGCUCGUACUCAAGAAAUGAUUAAUGAAAAGCUUAAGAAAGCUGAAGAGCUUGGUGAACAAGGCAUGGUAGACGAAGCUCAGAAAGCUUUGGAAGAGGCAGAAGCUUUGAAAAAGCUGGCGCCACGGCCGGAGCAACCUUCAGAUCCUUCUAAAUAUACAGCUGUUGAUGUUAGAAUUACUGAUCAAAAAUUACGCCUCUGUGACAUAUGUGGAGCAUUUCUGAGUGUAUAUGACAAUGAUCGACGUCUUGCUGACCAUUUUGGUGGGAAGCUACACUUGGGCUACAUGCUGAUUCGUGAAAAACUGAAAGAACUUCAGGUAAAUUCCUGCAUGCCAUGCCCAAAUACAUUUAGGAUGCUGAAAAUUGAUGAAAUAAAUUAAGAAUCCAGGCUGUGUGAACAGUGAAGACAUAAGUACAAUCAAAUCAUAAUCCCUCACAUCUUACUAGGACUCACAUUCUGUUUGUCCAUUAGAAUAUGAGCUUGAUUUAUUCCUUUGACUUCUCUAAGUCUGUUAAGGUGCAAUUUAUCAGGUGCUGAGUGUAAUGUACCAUUUUCUGCUUUAAAGAGUUACUCUGUUUUGGGCCUUUUGGCAUCUGUGAGUUUUCUUAUCUCAAGAGCCUCAAGGAAUUAGUCCAUGUUGCGUGCAUGUGACAAUCAUCUUCACACCCAUGGCAACAACAGUCACUGUCUCUUGAGAAAUGUAAGCAUAGGAGCGUGCAGAACAUGGUAUGAUAAAUCAUGUUUACUUAAUUGUGACAAACUGCUCAUGUGCUCUGCUUAGUAUUAUGUUGAGCAGAAGCUGGAGGUUGCUUUUCUACUGGUGAGCCAUAUUAUUGUAGAUCUGGUGUAAUAAAUAUUACUGGUUAAGUUAUCCUGAAAGCAACGUCCUUUUGCCAACAUUUGCUGUAAGUGACAACUUGUUCUGCUGUUUAUCUGCUACCUGCUCCAUAAAUGUGUAAGAUUAAUUUUGCUGAAGCAGCCUUGCCUGUAAUGUAUCACUAUCACUUACCUUUUCUUUUGGAACAUUUGUCUCUUGUUUUCAAGUAUGCUAAAAUAUCAUCAUUUUUACUGUCAUAAAUACACUAUGCCAUCUUUCAGGAGCAGAGAAAUAAAAGAAGGAAGGACAGACCUGAAGAUGAUAGACGAUCAAGAGAGCACAGCAAGGACCGCAACAGUCGGGCAUCAAGGGAUAGAGAUACAGAAAGAAAAGACAGGAUAGACUCUCGAGAUGGUAGAAGAGGAGAUUAUGAUAGGGAUCGUGAUAGACGUCACGACAGGGAUCGUCGCCAUGACCGUGAUCGGGAUAGAGAUUAUGACCGCUCCCGCAGCUACGAUUCAAGGAGGAGAGAACGUUCACGGUCCAGGGAGCGCAGGCGCCAUGAGAGGUACUAAAUGCUGAUCCCUGGCUGAAAGAUUUUCAAGUGCUCUGGGGAAAUAGAGUUGUGAUUUGUAUCUUCUGAAAGUUCCCGCUAGUUACUGGUUGAUGCUGCCAAUCUGGUGCAUUCUGCAUCGUUUAGUACUGUUUUUAUAUACGACUGUUGUGCCAAGAACGUUCGCAUCACAUCAAAUUCUGGGGAACCGACUUGACAACUAAAUGAUCCGAGAAUGUUUUGUGUUAAAGUUUAAACUCAUCAGAAGUUGGAAGCACUUUUUUCUUGUUGUUACCCCAA